GUCAACUGUCAGUGUCUAAUGUGAUUUAACGUAUUGUCAUUCAUAUUGUUGAGAGAAAUACACUAAAAUCUUCGGUUAUUUCUGCUAUUCUUGCCUUAAUUAGAAACAUAAUAGGGUUAUUAAUUGCGCAGAACUUGUUUACUGAAAUAAAAUACAAGACUUUCUUUGUUGAUAUCAAAUGAUCACCAUUGAACAUUAUGACAUCUGUUUGUUUUGAUCAUAAGUUAUUAUAAUAAUUAUUUUUUAUCAGUUAAUUAACUGCUCAGUAAAAAUGGAAGGUGGUGAAUGGAGGAGCAACAUUGUAAGCCAAUUACAAGCUAGGAAUAAAUAUGAAACAGCUGCAUUUCAGGACAUUAUUGCCUUUCAAAGCAGACUGUUUGACAAUGUCAAUACAUUAAAAAAUGAAAAUCUACAGCUUACUUUGCUCAAUGAAAGAAUAAGAUUUUCUGGAACUGAUAGCGUUUUGUCUGGUACUGGAACAGCAAGCAAUGAACGGAUACAGGCUUUGGAGCAGAAAAUCUUAGUACAACAGGAAGAGUUAACGUCUAUGCAUAGGAGAAGGGGGGAACAUGCACAGCAGAUUAUGAGCCUCAAUGAAAAAGUACAUGACUUAGAAAAGCAGCUACAAGCUAAAGAUAUCGUAAUUUCAGAAAAUACUGCUGUAAUAGCAUCUCUUCGUGCCGAAAUACAAAUGUAUGAAACAAAUAUGGCGGAAUUACAAGGAUUAAAUCAAGUUCUAAGGGAUGAACAUCAAGCCUUACAAAUAGCGUUCGCAGCCAUAGAAGAAAAACUGAGGAAAGCUCAGGAUGAAAAUCGUUCGUUAGUGGAGAGACUCAUAAAAUAUAAAGCUAAGGAUGCAGAUAAAAUGAAUGAAGAAAAUGAACAUUUCCUCAAGUCAAGCAACCCUACCGCGUUUCUCAUCAACACGUUUGGUAGAGUUAGUUUCGGAAAGAAAACUGAUAAGGUGCGGAAAGAAUUAGAGGAGGCGGCGAGAGAGAGCGGCAGUCGGAGUAGUGGGUCUGGCAGUUCAGAAGAUAAAAUAUUGGACUCCAUGCCGUAUUAUGCAACAGUUUUACCCAAUAAAGUUGCACUCAGAUUUGACGCUCACGACGGCGAAGUUAAUGCUGUGAAAUGGAGUCCAACAGACAGAAUCGUUGCGACAGGAGGUGCUGAUAGAAAAGUCAAAUUAUGGGAUGUUACUAAAAGUAUGGUGGAGAACAGAGGUACACUGGUCGGGUCGAACGCGGGAGUCAUGUCAGUAGACUUCGAUUCUACUGGUGCGUACAUCGUGGGAGCCAGCAAUGACUUCGCAAGUAGGGUGUGGACAGUUGCCGACCAGCGAUUAAGGCACACGCUGACGGGUCACAGCGGCAAGGUAAUGGCGGCGAAGUUCCUCGGGGAGCCGACCAAAGUGAUCACCGGGAGCCACGACCGCACGCUCAAAAUAUGGGACCUUAGAAGUAAAAUGUGUACAGAGACGAAGUUCGCGGGGUCAUCGUGUAACGACCUGGUGACGUCAGACGGGGCUGGUUCCACCAUCAUCUCGGGACACUUCGACAAGAGGAUCAGAUUUUGGGACAUUCGCACCGAGAUGUCUGCCAAUGAUAUCAUGCUGCAGGGGAAGGUCACGUCGCUUGAUCUCAGUAGAGACAACAAUUACCUGCUGGCGUGCGUCCGCGACGACACAAUACAGCUAAUAGAUCUGAGGAUGAACACGAUCGUUCGCUCUUUCAGUCAUGAGGCGUUCAAGGUGGGGUGUGAUUGGUCGCGGGCGGCGUUCGGCCCGGGCGGGAGACUCCUGUCUGUCGGAGCGGCGGAUGGAGCGGCCUAUGUGUGGAACACGCAUUCGGGAAGGCUUGAAACUAUACUCAAGGAUCACACGUCGGCAGUGACGGCGGUGUCAUGGCACCCGCAGUCGGGCUUGCUCGCGUCAGUGGACCGCGGCAAGCGAGCUAUCAUCUGGGGAGAUUUGUGACAAGCCUGGCAGGCGCCCCAGCCGUCGCCACCUGCCGUACAGGUUAUUAUCCCAUUAUUCGACAAAGUUGGUUAUCAAAGAUGACGAUAAAGAUGGACCCGAAAACGACUCCGGAGAAAUGUUCGACUUCUUGUUAGGUUUCACCACAGAUAUAUUUCAACGUUUCACGUAACAAGAACAGCCAAUGGACAUGCACUUCCAAAUUGAAUGUGUCUAACGUUUCAAACAAAUCGGAAAGACACAGAUCAAUUCCCGUAGAAAUAAAUGGAAAAAUGGAUCGGUGACGUCAAAAUAAUUUCAUUGUAUAUUUUGUGAUUAAAUUUUAUUAAUAUAGAAAAUUAAGAGGUGCUACAAACAUGAACUAAAUCUUUUCAAAAUACGAUUAUAACGACCUCACGUUAAAACUUCAAACUUGAAUUCAAAUUGCCACGAAGGUGUAUCAAAAUUCAUGCCGUGUGUUUUUCCAUACAUGCGUGAUUUGUGCUUCGACGUCUAGGAGUUGAAGUGAACUGAAGUGUGUUGCAGUCUGAUGGGGAACCUUCACCAAUUUAGAAUGUAAGCUGUCUUCCGUCAAUUGUACCUUUAGUUUGAUUUUCCAUUCCUUUAUAAAAUCGUGUGUAUUGUUCUGUGCAAUUUGAGCCUCGAAUCGUGCACCAAACAAAUUAAAACGAUAUUUUGAUGCAAGCUCUGAAUGUGCGUUUGUGAUGUGAAGCUUUUACAGUGAUCCAAUUUUUCUACGUUAAUGUUGUAGUUAAUGGAAUUUGUAAUAGCAUUAAAUAAGUUAGCAUUAGUGUUGUUACUUCUUGAAAAGUAAUUUUAAGAAUUUCAAAAAGAACAAUUGCCGUGUAACUCGCUAGUUGAUCUAAAAAGUAGCUUGUAAUAUAAUAGUACCGACUUCGAAGUUUUAUACUCCUACGUUUAGGAUAAAUUAAUGGGGAUCAUUUAUUAUUGUCAACAUGACAUCAUAUUUGUUUUAGUUAACUGAGUUAGAUCGCGGCAGACCACCUGUGCUUCCCGAAGUCUCAUUAGCAAACAAUGAUCGGGCGUCGGCGACUACCGAAGCCUCUCGCGAUCAAUAAACUGUUGAGCCGAUAAGAGCGCCUCGGCUGCCCGAUCUAGGGCUGCCAUUACAAUUUAUCUAAUUCUAAGUGGUAUAAUUUUAUUUCCCUUAAUCACACUAUUCCACUAAGCUAUUCGCUCGACUAGCCAAAAAUGUAACUAAAUUUUUCACGUCUAUAUAGAUGAGCAUGUGAUAUCUAGCUCGUAUGUUCGUGACAUAUAAACGCGUGGCAGCCCUGUAUCGGAAGCGCGCACGCCGCAGGCGACACAUCCAUAUUCCUGUGACGUGUGUAUUGACAACCUGGCUUGGCAACUUUUUCAUAGUCAUUUUUUACCAUAUUUUUUGCCGCACAGUUCAACGACCCCGUACAAGUUGUAAGUGUUAUUUCUACAUGUAAUUAUAUCUCAUAACUGACCGCUUAAUUACUUGAAACUGCUGCGACGUCCGGACCUGGAAUCCGAUCAGAAAAAACCUAAUCCGGCGCCGCUCUUAAAUUACGCUUCGUUAACCUUCGGCUCGGCUAAUAAUAGCCUGCAACACCUAAUUUGCAUAGGACUCUCGAAGGCGCCUUGUCUCUCUACACAAUUUUCUUGCCAAAAGAACAUGUCAUACUCCGAACAUAUUAUACUCGUAAAUAUUAGUUACUGCAAUGUUAUCAAACUUUCUUUUCUUUCAAUGUCGGUGUUAUUGAGCUUUAUAUCGCCGGCCAUUAUUGUAACUAGUCACUUAUCUUCGAUGUUUAUUCUCACUUUAUUUUAUGUAUAAGUAUGUGAUAAAUUCUUUUUGAUAAAAUGUUAUUUGCAUUUAGCGGUAUAUUUAUAUGGAGUAUUUAAAAGGAUACCUUCAGAAUAAAUAAAAAUGUUAAUGAAUUUUCAAAUGUAGGUAAGUUAAACACAUUAUGCACAUAAAAGGAAGACGUUCGUUAAAUGCAAAUUAUACCAAAACUAUGUGUGUUAUUUUUUGAAUUUAUUAGUUUUGUCAAGAGGUUGUGGUUGGUUCACAGUCUUAAAAAGGAGCACAAUGUAUGGCACCUACAUUUAUAAAUUAAUCUAAUAUAUUAAGUAUGUUAUUGAUUUACUAAGUUCUUGUUAUUUUUGGAAAUGUAAAAAUAUAUUAUAAUUGACGUAGCUUGAUUAAAGUGAUGGUUAGCGGAUAUUUACGUUGGACAGUCUACGACUUCAUUAGGCGACAUGACGUUAUAAAAAUUUCAACUGAAUUUAAUUAAAUACUUAUACCUCGAUGCACAAACAUUAGAAACCGCUUAACCUUAUCUAGGAAAUUCCACCAUUUGUAACUGUUUGCAGUAGUAGGUGACUUUACACCUCUUCGGUAUCAAAUAACCAAUUUACUGAGGAUAUUCAUAGUCAUUCGAGUAGCUCCCGUACGACGGGGAAGCAAGCCGCGCCGUAGCUGCGCUCGCGCUUAGUUUUAUGUGGCCGAAUUUCCAACAGCUAGCUUGUAUUUACUAUAAUAAUGUGCCUUUCAUUAGCUACUAAGCGAGUACUUAUAUGUAUAUGGUAUAAUUAUUUUUAUUAAAACAGAUGUCAUAGAAUAACGUUUUAAUAGAUGAUAACGGCUUUAUUCCAUAUUUUGUCAUAAAUUCGCAUCAGUUUGUAUGUAAAUAGUAGUAUAGGUUAUUAUACAGCUUUACAAGACUGUUGUCCUUAUUUUAGAUAAACGUUACAUCACAAUGACGAGUUGACGUCCUUUUAAUAGUUUUAGCGUUGAAAGCUUUUCCUUGAUUACAUUUUCUACGUGAAGUUUUCAAGUUUCGGUGAGUGAUUAUUAUUGAUUGUUAAACAUAAGUAUGUGAACGCAUAAUAAUGUUUUAUAAUGUAGAACAUACGGCUUGAGAUGUUUCUACCAAUAUUUUUAUACUAAACGUUGUACAGUAGAAACGUUUGUGAACAAUAUAAAGCCAAUUUGGUCAACCGCAUUAAAUAAAAUUGUAUCUACUUUCGUCA